CAACCUCAGUACGGACCAGGUCAGUGCUGUACGCUAGGGACAUUAACGAAAACCUUGACAUUGAACAAAAGUGACUACAAGAUUCAAUCCGAAGAUACCAUCGGGUCAAACAAGGUAGGAGUGACCCCAACUUAGAGGACAAGGAGUUACACCUUCAACAAAGGUGGUCUUUCUCACCGUUAUUGGCAUCAUCACAAGGAAGGCUUCUUCAUCCAGCGGCGUUGCAGAUGAGGAAUUCUACCAAGCUGCAACCGAGAUUCAAUCCUACUUUGCCAUACAUGUACAGCAAGUAAGAAAAUAAUAUUGAAGGCAAUCUCUGAGUAUUUGGAUGACAGGAAGUCAUCAGGAACUGUUGCUUGACUAUUGAGAGCUUUCCCGGCACAUCUGGC